rnacentral:lncRNA from 1 species
AUUAAUUACUUCCUAGUUAAUCAGUUUUAUAUAAAUAGAGAGAAAAUAUAGAAUUAAACUUCUAUAUUUUUAAAAGUACCAAAUUAUUGGUGCUUGUAGAUUUUUAGCCAUUGGAUUAAGAAAAAUGCGGUUAGGAUAAUGUGGGUUCUCUAGGGUUGAGUGGAUGGUUGGUUGAAUAGUAUAAUUUAAUGGUUGAAAAUAAUCCGAGAAAUAAAUUUAAUAGUAAUAAACUUACAAGCACCAAGUGCUUGGUAUUUUUACAAGUACCAUAAUUGGACUCGAAAAUAUAUAUAGUAGAUAAAAAUUAUGAAUUUUAUACGAACACCAGGAACCCGAUUUAAUGCGUCGGAUUUUGGGCCCAACCAUUAGGCCCCUCUAUAAGGAGCAUUUAUGCAUAUUUAUGUAUUUUUUAAGUUAUGAAUAUUACAGGACGUGUGUAGAAAAAGUGUAUGGACUUGGUAGGUGGCUGCUCCACCAAACCCCUGCUUCUAAGAAAAAUUAUUUUUUCCCGAGAUAUUAUAAAAUUAUUUUAUCUUAUUAUUAUUUUUUUUAUGUCACAUGCAAGCAUGUUUACACCAAGGAGUCGUUGGACUUCCACCAUCCAACACCGACUCCUUAUGGACAACAACUAACCCUGCAUUAGUUGGCAAUUUGGUAGGGAAAAUGAAGUCAAAUAGCGAAAGCAUUACUUAGUUUUAGAUUCCAUGAUCUUUCCCCACCUAACUAUCUUGUGUUGGACCACAUAUACAGUUUAAUCCCUGCCUAAUUUUCUUUUUAUUUUGUACUUUGCAUUCCACACAUUUUCCUUAGCGUAUUCUAAUCGUUGCUAAUUGGAUCGAGCCAAAGCCAAAACAUUAGAGGGGGGAGGGGGGGGGGGAGAAAAGUACAUACUUUAAAUUGAUCCGUUGUUGGUCACAUCACACGCGUGUUUUAAAUUGUGAACAUAAAUUGAUCAACACCUUUAUGCUUUUAUAUUAUGUAUGCUAACGAUCUGUAAAAAUAAUAUUAUGAAAAGCUCGUGGUAGUACUUUUUUCUUUUCUUUUUUUCGUUAUUCCCGGAGAAAACACUUUAAAUUUUACAAUAUUCUGUGAAAAUGCAUAUGUGAGACAAAAAUAAAUAUAUGUAACCAGUAAAUUACAUUCUUUAUAACAAUAAUAAAAUAAAUGUAUAAGCAUAGGAUUGUUCCACCCUUUCACAUGCCUAAUAACAGGAGUAGUUAAAUGAGAGCAAUUAAAAAAAAAAAUAUAUAUAUAUAUAUAUAUAUAUAUAUUAAAUAAGGUAGUGAGUUGUGAACGUAUGCGCCACUACUUCCAGAGUUCACGACAAAAUAGCAGGGCACCCCCGAUCCUCUAUCUUGCGCAGCCGAUUGGGCGCGGAUCCCAUACAACCUGAGUUGUUGCAACUUCGUACAAUUUGAAUGUACGGAAAUCCAACCAAUAAAAAGCCGCCACGUGUAUGAUUGUAUGAAAUUUAUACAUCCGGGAGUUUGGUAGGUCUACUUUUCUCUUUCCAAAAUUAACCCUCACCGAGCUCUCACAGAGUUCGGAUUGAUGAGUUUGGCUUAGUCUUCUUAUAAAUGAUACGAAGUUUGAUUAUUUUGUUGAUCACCACUGCUUUAGAAUCCGUGAAAUGUGGGCCUUUCAUUUGAAUUGACAUAAAUAUAAUUACUAUAUAUAUAAUAUAUAUUUAUAAAGCGAAUAGGAUUUUAAAUGUGUCAAUUUUUUUUUUCAGAAAUAUUUUUUUAUGUUAAUAAAUCAACCUUGACUUUUUAUUUGUUAUACAAAUGAGAUGAUUGAUUAUAAAGUUUUUAAGUUUAAUUUAUUUUUCAAUGCAAAGCAUGCGUUGCACGCCCACUUUUACUGCUAUAUAUAUAUAUAUAUAAACACACACACACAUAAAAGAUAAUAUUAUAUGUACAUCUAUAAUCUAUAAUUAUAGAUUUAUAUCCUAUUCUAACCUCUCAAUGGGUAAGAUUUGCUCAUCUUAUUAAUUAUUUUUUUAAUAUUAAAAAUCUUAAAAAUAUUAGUAUAUAUUGAAAUUAUAAAGGUCCAAAAUUUUUCAUACAUUAAUUAGUAUCACGUGUGGAAACUAUAAAGGAUUUCUCUUUCAUUUUCAAUUGUGUUUGAGUGCAUCGUUUGGUCCACAAAUUUUAUUUAGGGGACAAAACAGAUGCAUCCUUUAAUUUUGGCCACCCAGCAAACAUUAAUUUCCACAAAUAACGAAACAGAGCUGCUGACGUGGCCUUCUCCCAUGCGUCGUAUAUGAUGUUCUAUGCGGCACAAUGUCGCUAUUAGAGGGUGUAGUUCCUAUUAUGCGUACAAUUUUUGGUGUAGCUUGCUAGUUGAUAACUAUAAGAGUGCCUGCGUUCCAUGUGCGUCAUACAACAGCGACCCUACAAAAUUAGCUUCUAGGGUUUUCGCUCCUUUCAUUGACACUCGCAAAAUUAUCGAAACUAAAAUUUUAGGAUUAAUUAUUUUGGAUUUGAUGAAUUAGUAGGUUUUUUUUUUUUUUUUUUUUUUUUUUUUGAGAGGUAGGUAGCACACUGUUUAUUUUAUUUAGAAAUAAACUUAACUGAAAAUGUGAAUCAAAUAGAAUUCGAACUUGGAACCUCGGGUACCAACCAUCAAACCUUUUGCCACUUGUUUUAGGGACAGUAGGUUCUAAGUUAGGUGAUAUUUUGUUGAGUACAAUAUAUAAAAAUAAUAUCUUUGACUGUUUAAGUUUUUAGAGAAAAAUAAUUAUCUUUGUUUUAGCUAGUUAUUUUAAUAUGAAAAUGGUAAAUAAUAUUGAGAAUUAGUUUGGUAUUGGCCAACGUAGUUUACGUAAUCAACUUGAAUUGAAACGAAAUGACUAUGAUUGGACUGGGCCAAGAGAGGGUAGUUGGGUCUGAGUUGAGUCUAGGGUUGGCCUAAAUUGAAUCAAUUUACUUGGCUAUAUUGUCACAUCAAGCCCAAUCAGAUCACUCGAUCGUCGACUCUAGUGCAACUGACAAAAAAUUUAAUAGUUAGUAUCAACGUUUCAAAUUCAAAAUUUCAGUUAAAUUUAUUUUUUUUAACAUAAUAAACGAAGCGGACAAUAUAUUAUCUUUCUUUUAAAAAACUUGGUUGGGUUUGGAUUGGACAUGGGAACUUCUUCUGCUUUACUAAUAUCUGGUUGACUUGUUUACUAUUGGUUGGGGCACAUGACAUAGUCUGAGAAUCUAACAUAAGUGUUACAAUUUUUAAAAACAUUUCAGGCUAUCUCAAUGACCCUGAGGCCACAAAGAACACCAUAGACAAGGAAGGAUGGCUCCACACUGGAGACAUCGGUUUCGUUGACGACGAUGAUGAGAUCUUCAUCGUCGACAGGCUUAAGGAGAUAAUCAAGUACAAAGGGUUCCAAGUUCCGCCGGCCGAGCUCGAAGCCCUGCUCAUUACACACCCGAGCAUCGCCGACGCCGCGGUUGUUCCGUAAGUAUUCGAACUUCCUACACCCACUCCGUGAGCGGUAUACUCUAUCAGAUUGAUUUGAUGGAAAAGAUGAUAUACGCGCGCUAUUUUAUGGGUUUAAAUCUCUAUCAAUUACCUAUUCUGUAUUCGAUAUUCCUAUUUAUAUCGUAUGCUUUUGUACUAAUAUUUUAUUUGUUUCCGCAGUAUGAAAGAUGAACUUGCUGGGGAAGUUCCUGUUGCAUUCGUUGUCCGGACCAAGGAUUCCGAAAUUACGGAGGAUGAGAUCAAAAAAUACGUCUCGCAGCAGGUACAUAAAAUUCCAAGCUUUAUGUCCUUUUCUGAUGUCUUUUGCUUUGUUUCCUUUGUAUUGAAAAAGUCGCAUUAUGAUCCCUUUUUUUUCCAUUUGGUUGCAAAAACAUUUGCAUCACAAAAUUGGGUUUGGAUAUCAUGCCAAAAGAGUCACUAACAGCAGAAAAGGACAGUUAACCUAAUAAACGUGAUUGGGGAUUGUGGAAGGUGAAAUUUUAGGUGAAAUUUUAAGUUUGGUAGGAUUAAGAAAUUCGAAAAUGACCUCGAAGCUAAUAAGCUUUGAAAACACCAUGAAAAGAUAACUCUAUAGCAUUAAAAAAAGAGAUAGUUAAUCUUUUUUAAAAAAAUUUAAAGGAUUAAAAUUUAUAACGGGAUAAGGAUUUUGGUGACGUAUUUUGAUACAAGUUAAUAAACUAAUUGUAUUGCCCAUUAAAUUGUGCCAAAUAGAGAAAAAUGAAUACUAAUUGAAAUUUGACUCAAAAACACCUUAAAUCAAUUCGUAAUUGAAAUCGAAAUAAGAUCAUUAGGACCAGACAUAUUCUCCUAUAAUCUAGAUCCGAAUGAAACUUGGUCUUUGAUCCAUCACUGCAAAACAUUCUUUCCUUAAUUUACCUAGUUUGUUGAUUAUCACUGGAUUAAUUUCCUUGCGUAAAGAGCAAAUUAGUAUUCAUCUCCGGGAUUAGCCUUAUAUUUAAUCUGCUAGUAUAGUGUGAUUUGAAUCAAAUUUCCGUAAAAUUGUUGAAUUAUUUACUUACAAAAACUCCUCUCUCUCUCUGCAGGUGAUCUUCUACAAGAGAAUUGGCAAGGUGUUCUUCACCGACGCCAUUCCGAAGGCGCCGUCGGGCAAAAUCCUGAGGAAAGAUCUGAGAGCCAAGUUGGCAGCUUAAGUUAUGCUAUUGUUGGUGAAUACAUUGUCUCCGCAAAUUGGCGCACCACCGACUGAUCUCAACGGUUUCGCUCUUCGUCUCUGAUCCUCUCCGCUGAAGCGAAAAGAACAAGAGAAAAAAAAAGAACGAACUUGUAAGAUUAUUGUUAAAAUAACCUUAUAUAGAAGAGUUUGGAGUUAAUUCUUUCAGACAUUGGCUUUUUAAGCGGUCAAAAUUAGGGGCAAUUCGUUCUCCUAAUCGAGCUGCUGCGAACGAUGUUUAUUCUUCGUUGGUUGUGUUUGUAAUGUUCAUAUAGAUUGAUGCUCAUGAUUCUGUGGCAUGUCAAUGUGGUAAUAGUGGACACUCCAAAUAUUUAUCGAUAAUUUCGCAAAUAAUCCAUUUCACUGUGUAACUUAUUCGCGAUAUUUGAAACUGUUAUUAAUUUCUAUAUAUUAACUUAGGCACAUCAGAUUCUGAUGUGCCUAAAAAUAGAAAAUCAGGCUAAGUUAAAGGAUAAUUGUCUACGACAGUGAAAAAGAAACACAGGAGAAGGACAAGAAGGCCAUUUAACAAUUGUGGACCAUUUUGCCACCACAUUAUAGUGGAGAACAUUAGCAGCAGCCUAUCACACACGUACCUAACAUAGAGAUAUAUAACCGACCGUUCCUAAAACAAGUAGCAAAAGGUUUGAUGGUUGGUAUCCGAGAUCCAAGUUCGAAUCCUAAUUUAUUCAUAUUUUUAGCUAAAUUUAUUUCUAAAUAAAAUAAAACGAAGCGGAUAGUAUGGUAUCUAUCUCUCAAAAAAAAAAAUAUAGAAAAAUAUAACAUCAUUUGUGGCAAUUUGGUGGCCUAUUUGGUUAGAACGAAAUAAUAUAAUUUUUAGAAAUAAAAAUAAGAAUCUCCAUUCUCCAACAGGGCAUCCGACACUUGAUGGGGUUUUGGGUUAAAUAAUGUAGAUAGUAGUUGUCGCUGCUGUUGCUUUUUUAUUUUUUAUUUUUUAAUUAGAAGCCUUGUUCUUUUAACUAUGAUAGCUGAGUUUAUUUUCCUUCGAACUACCUUUCUCAAUAAUAAUAAUAAUAAUAAUAAUAAUAGUAACAAUAAUAAUAAAAAAAUGUUCGUUCAACAACCUCACAUUCCCAGCUACAUGUUAGUGAGUUGAGUUUGGUGGCAAAUUAAGUUGAGCAAAUACUCGAUUAUGCUUACUCAAAACAAUCUCUUUCAUAGUAAUGCUUUCUUUUUCUUUCUUUUUUUCUUUGUUUUUUUUCUUUUUUUUUUUUGUUCAUAGUAAUGCUUUCGAUUCUUAGCCCAGUUAAUAGAGUACACAUCUAACUUGAAGCUGAUAAUAGAGUUGGGAGUCCCUAGUCAAAAUUCCUUGAGCUCAAGGGAGAACACGCCUGUGCCAAGCCAUUCUCUUUUGGAUUUCAAAUUAAUGAAUCUAAACCAUCUCGUGCUUACUAAAUGACAAAUUAAAUCCGAGUCGAGGUGUGCGUUGACCGAGCAACAGUAGCCUGAAUUCUCUCACGUUUGGAGCGCAUCUUAAAUCUUUGGAAUCUACCGGAUGGUGUUCAAAAACCGACGAAUUGACCCAAAAUUUAAUCAAAUCGACAAAAUUCGGUUGCAUUUUAAAUCGACAGAUCCAGCCUAGCGAUAUGCGCAAACUGUAGAAAAACUAAGCUAAAAGUUUUUUCCUGCACGAAAAUUUAAUUUUAAGGAACAUUGAUUAUGAUGUAUAGGUUUAAUAAUAUCUUUGGUACAACUGAGCGCCCAUGGCCUAAUGGAUAAGGCGCUUGACUUCUAAUCAAGCGAUUGUGGGUUCGAGUCCCACUGGGCGUGUUCUUUUUCUCUUUUUUUUUUUUUAUUUUUUCACAUGCGCAAAUCAUCAUUUUUUUUUUCUUUUUUCCUCCCUAUUUUCACGCAAACAAAAAAUAUUUCGGCGGAAGAAAUAUAGAGCACACUUCGUAUCUGACGAAUUUUUUUUUUUCAUGCACGCAAAAUAAGAGGAAGAAUAUGCUGUUGCUGAAGACACAUUACCGAAACAAGAUGAUGAAGAAAUUAUACUACCUGUGCAUGAAAUAGAUGGAUUGAGAAAAGAGAGGGAUAAUGCCGGUUUUAAAAGAACUAGCCUAUUGCUGCUUUCACUUCAAAUUCAACGCUAUGCCAUCGAAAUCAUCAAAAAACCAGUACAUUAUUCACAUAAUCCAGAAAUACGUAAAGCUUUUAAUAGCAAAAAUUUUACAAUUCAUGAUCAGAAGCAGUCGGAAACAGCCGGCAGCAAUAACGAAUGAAAUUCGCAACAUAACAAAACUAUACAUCCGUUACAAAAAAGCUACCACAAUAUGUACGGACAACCGGUGGCUACAAGCUAGUGUCAGAUCAUAUCAGUAAGCGUAUGAAAGAAAAGGGAAAAAAAAGAAGAAGAAGAAAUUGCUAAACUGAUUCCAGAAGAAAGAUAGCCCGUAUCCUUUUUCCUCCUCCCUCUCUUUUACUACCAUCAGAAAAAGAAGAGCAAAAGGAAGAACGUACUCUGAAUAGCUGCAAUCAAGGGGGGCAGUGGAAUAUACAAAAGCAGAGUCGAUCGAUCGAUCGAUUGAUCGAUCCUGAGGGGGGCAAGCAAAACAGAGCUCUCCCUCUCUGUAUAUCUCACAUAUGCCGCCGAGGAGGCCACGGCGCUCUUCUCCUAUGGCUCUUUUCUUUCCUCUCAGCUAGCAUCUUCCGUCCCACAUACCUGUUUUUCAAAAAAAAAACAGCUGCUCAACGUAAAAGAGAGAAAUUUACACUUCGUUUGGAAUCAAAUUUGACUGAAGUUUAAGUGACUGAAACUCACAAGAAUUCAAUUCACUUCAAUUCAAUUCAAUUGCAAAUAUAUGAGAGAGAGAGAGAGAGAGAGAGAUAGAGAGACCUGCCCAUCAUCAUGAGGGUGGCUUGGGGGUUGGUGCCUGGUGAGAUAGCAAAGGUGGAGCCAUCCACCACCCUAAGGGCGCCCACGCCGAUAACCCGGUAGUCACCAUCCACCACUUUCCCAGCCACGCACCCGCCGUGGUAGUGCCAUAUUGUUGCCACUGUUCUCCGACAGAACUCCUCCAUCGCCGCCCUGUCUGACCGGUUCGCCGGCAGAGCCGGCCCCACAUACCUGAAAUCCCCCCUCCCCCUCCACGGCAGCCACCCGACCACCGACCGAAACUCCUGCAUCGACCGGCUUUCGAGAACGUCGCCGACCCGGCGGAGCCCGACGACGCAUCGGUCCAAGUCCUCCGGGUUGGAGAAGUAGUUGAAGCGGACAAUCGGGUUGUCCCGUGCAUCGAGUGAUGCGAGACGGAGGGAGCCAACGGAGGCUGGGCCUGGGACCUUCUCCAUGAGGGUGGCGACGGUGACGUAGAGAGGAGAGGAAGGGUUGUGAAGGAAGACGGAGCGAGGCGGGGAGAAGAAGGGCACAAUGUUCGAGGCAGCCUCCAGGAAUGAUGCAUCGGCCGCGUCUUUGUCCUCGCCGGUGGGGAUGCCAACCACCUACAUGAAGUACAGCGAUCGAAACGACAUAUUAACAUCAAAACAGCAGGUCCUGAAUUCAAAUAUUAUCAGGCUCAGACCUCAUCUAAUCCCCUUCAGUUUGUUACAAGAAGAGUAUCGAAUAAAGUGAUCAAAACAUUAGUCUUCUAGGAGCUUAAUCUUUUUAGACAAAAAUGUUGUUGUUUCACAUCACCUGGAUAAGGGAAUGGUCGAGGGGGAUCGAGGGGAUGAUGGAGAUGCCAUUGCGGGGGUUGUCGUAGACGUGCUGGCCAACAUCGGGGAGGUUAGCAGCGACGGGAAUGCCCCAGGAGGAGAGGUAGGGGCGGGGGCCCACGCCACUGAGGAGGAGGAGCUGGGGGCUGCCGAGGGCACCCGCACAAAGGAUCACCUCGCCCCCUGGCCGUACCAUGGCGUGGUGGUGCCGCCCAAGCCGGUCUCGGUAUAGCACCCCGAUUGCCGCCGAUGAUUGCUGGUUCCGCCGACGCGAGCCUAGAAAUGGUGAUACCACAACAAUUAGUAUUCCAAAAUGAACUUUAGAUUGGAUUCUAUUCUCUAAGGAGAAUGCAGGAGGUGAAGAUACAAUAAUUUCCAAAUUGUCUAGCUACAGAUGCAUCAUAUGAAAUUAAUAAACAGAAAUUUCAAAUCUAAAGGGAGACAAAUUUUUCAACGAAAGCAAGAGUUGAUUACCAUCAGCGUUCAAUAAACACUUUCUCAAAUUUUUUUUUUUUUUUAAAGAACUUGGUGUCCAUAAUAAAUCCAAGACAAUGAGGCCAGAAAUGUAAGACUAAAUAAAUUCAAGCAGAUGAAGCUAAAACUAAAAGAAAAAAAAAUAUAUGUACUUACUAUCCGCAUUUUCUAAUUUCAUGUUCUAAGACCUUCCUUGUACAUUGUCGGCACCAGAUUAGACCUUACUAUCCAAAGAAGCAGAUUUAUAUGGACUCUAACAAAGGAAUUAUUAAUUGGCGAAGUCCUGAAUUUUGAUUCUUUACCGAUUCGCACUUUUGGUUGGGAUCAUAAGAUCUCGAAUUUGGACGGAGAUAAGAAUUUCCAAAUGUCUAACUAGAAGUUAGCUGCAGCGGGAGAACAAAACGAGUUCCUAGUUCAACAGAUGAUCUGAAUUUAGAGGAGAUAGCAAGUUUUCUACAAAAGCAAGAUUUAAUUACUAUCAGCAUCGAACUAUAAGACGAAAUUCGAGCUAAAAUUUACUUACUACCAGAAUUUAACGAGGAAUAAUUCAUAGUUCAAGAAGACAUUGGAAUGGACAGUUUUAAUAAGAUCAUCAAGCUGAAAGAAAGGAACAACAUCAAGAUAACAAAAUGUUACGAUCCAUAUACAGGGGAGGUCGAAGCGAACCGGGAGGGACGGGGUUGAGGAGGACGCGGUCGACGGUGGCGCGGAGGGCGACGCGGAUGCGGUCGGGGUUGGCGAAGGCGAGGAGGUCGGCGGCGCUGUGGCGUCGGCCGGAGGAGUCGAAGGUGGUGGCGCCGAUCUUGGUCCCGGCGAGGUGGUGCACCGUGAACCCGUUGUACGGCGUGACGUUGGCCUCGAGGAGGCCGUCCCUCACGGCGGAUUGCCAGCUCCGGAGCACCGGGCGGAAGGUGAUGGCCCUCUCGACCCAGUCGUAGGAGUCGUUGACGAGGGCCAUGUCCCAGGAGGGGCCGCGGGGGAGGGAGAACCAGGAGGGGUGGGCGCGGCUGUAAAAGCCGGCGUUGAUGGCGCUGCUGCCGCCGAGGACGCGGCCGCGGGCGUUGGGGACGGCGCCGUCCUCGGAGGAGAAGGGGUGGGCGGGGGAGUCGGGGGCGUCGGUGUCGACGAGGGUGGGGAGGAAGCCCUCCGGGGAGGCGAGGGAGGGGAACUCGGAGGGGGCGCCGCCGCGCUCGAGGACGAGGACGCGGCGGCCGCCCUCGGAGAGGGUGGCGGCGAGGGGGCACCCUGCGGUGCCGCCGCCGACGACGAUGUAGUCGUAGUCGGACUCCACCGGGAAGGCCCCGGCGUCGAAGGCGAAGGAGGCGUAGCUCGGGGGGCCUGCGAGGGAGAUGGGGAUCAAGAUCGUUAGGCGCAAGAAGAGGAUGGGAAGAGGGAGAGAGGGAGGGGAAGGGAGGGGUUUGGUACCUUCGAUAGGAGGGGCUUCGCCGCGGGGGAGGAGGAGGAGGAGGAGGAGGAGGAAGAGGGGGGUGGGGACGAAGGUGGAGGGGAAGCGCUUCUUCGCCAUUAGGUUUUUAGAGAUUGGUGAGGAAUCGGGUCGAAUUUGUUGAGAGAGAGAGAGCGCGCGCGCUUGGGUUUUGAGUGCAAAUGGCGGUAAGUUUAGGAGAGAGAACGAAUACGAAGAGAGCGGUUUGUGAAAUUAUAAGUACCUGGACCUAGUCCACCAAUUAAUCUGUAAACCGAACCAUUGGACUGCAACAAAUCUGCGAAAUGCACAGUUGCCAAUGCAUGAGAAACCGUUGUGCAUUAUGCAUUCGCUAUUUGUUGUUAAUUCCACUUUGUUUUUUCUCUUUUUUCCCAAAAGGUAAACUUUCACUUUUGUGCAAGGAUUUAAAUGUCGUUUUACAGAACCGUGCCGAUAAUAACAAAAUAUUUAUUUUUUUUAAUAACAAAAUAUACCAAUUAUUUAUUAUAUAUUUUUAUCAAAAUUUUAAUUUUAUUAAAAAAAUUAAUUUCUAAUUUCAAAAAUAAAAAAUUUUGAAUUAUACUAAUAUCUUGCUAGUAUAAUACAAUACAAUAAAUACAGCCCGUAUCGACGAGCACUAUAAUCCUUACUUUUGUAUAUUUCUUUUAUCAGUUUGAACAAUUUUUUCAGUUUAAUCGAUCUAUUAGUUGCUUUCAUGGCUACCGGAUCCAAGAUUUCUAGAGUUCACCUCGUAAAAUAGUUGAUGAAACCGUAGCAGUAUUUUUAACAGAUGACACCACAUGAUAUGGUAACUAUUUAGUCAUCAUACAAAUGAACUGCUACAUCAUGUUCGAAAAAAAUGCCGUAUAGCUAAUUCAGGAUCAAUUCAACAAAAAGAGAAAUAAAAGCGGUAUCAAACCGUGUAAUAAUUUCUCAAAUUUGAGAAAUAAAACCGUAUAAUUUCUGACCAAAAUUUAGCAUAAUUCGCUUCAAUAAAUAAACACUUGCUCGCGUGCGCCCGCUUAAGUAUACUACGGACAGCUCUCAUCAAAGAUAAAAGUGAUCCAUCACCCCAAUUAAUACAACAUAGCUACGAGUUUGCUAGGCUUCUGCUGAUCUUACCAAUCCCUGUUUCCAGCUGCAACAAACUAGGCAGACUGACAAUAUCAGCAUUAAUAAAUAAGCAUCUACUCGACGACAUUAUUUGCUUAAGAAAGAAUAAUGUUAUAUGGUCCUUGCUUUAAUUGAUCAAUGAGGAAAAUAAUUCUCAACUCAUUGCUCUACCAGAUGUCAUCAUGUGAGCUCUGAGAUUCAAAUAUUUCAAACAGAACGCUUUAGAUUUCUCUAUAUGCAGCGCUGCAGGACAUACGAAGCGAAAGAGGUGCGCCAGCUAGGAAUAAUGUGGGGUAAAUAAUAUUGCCUCUCUAGUGUUUUAAUCAUGAAACCAGCACCAAAACUUAAUUGAUUGCCGCGCACAUAUGAACAGAAAUAAAAUAUGGGAUUUUACUGAACUAUUCCGUUCUGUUUGCUCCCGCUCUUCGCUGAUUUCUUCUGCUGUUCGGCAUCGUAGUGAGCAAAGGCCGCAUCCAAUGCCUGAAGCGAGCAUAGAUAUUAAAUCAAAUCAGAUACAAGGCAUAGAAAGGAAACAAAAGAAAAGAAGAGGAAACAAGAGUUGCACUUCAAAAUUACCAUGUUUAAUAAUACAUUCAUGUGACGCGAGAGAAAGGACAACUAGGAAUUACCUGUAGCAUUGGCUGAACAAAGAGAGACACUUGAUGCCUGAAAUCUGACUGCACAGAUUCCUUAAUUUCCUGAAAAUUCACCCACAAGAUUUUCAAUAUUGACAGGCUGGAUUAUUAGUUAAAAUUUGAGUUUAAAACGUAAAAUUAGCUUAUGUUCAAUUGUUUUAGCGACUGUCAUACGUAAUUCACUCUUGUAUUAAAUGGAAUGUAGUAGUUCUGUGAAAAGGUUCAUGUGCUGGGUUUGCCCUAGAAUCAGAAGACUUUAAAGAGAAAAUUCCAUGAGAUAUAACCGAGUCCUAGUGAUGACUGCUUCCGUGGAAAGGCCAUAAAAUAACAACGAGACGAGAGAAAGAGCGAGAGAGAGAAAGAGGUGGUACCUGUAGCUUUUGAUAUAUCUGAGACAUAGCAUCCUUCAACCUUAGGACCUGCAACAAUGCAAGAUGUUUAAUUGGCACAAUUGUAUAGCCACAAAGAAUGCAUCAUGACAAUUGCUUCUAUUACCAUCUACCAUCUACUACUAAAUCUUGAUGUAAUUACUACCUUAUUAUAUAGGUAAGCAGUUGUAAUUGGAUAUGAUGACCAAAAAUGUUGCAGCAAUUCCUGAAUGGACAUCCAAUGCUGAAAUUGUUAACAAAACCAGGAUAUUAGUUCAUUAAUCAUACAACACAAAAUUAAAAGGUAGAAGCAUACCGAUCUUACCCAAAUUACACUGCAUCUUGAAAUGGGUUCCUGAACUCCAAAAUUUUUGAUUUUUACUACCUACCCUUAAACUAUGGUGGGCUUAACUACCCGUUUGUCAAAAAUUAACGUCACAAAGUAUUUUGUAACCUAACGGAAAAUUCUAUUAUUUGACAGAUUAUUCUAUAACUUUUUUUUUUCUAUGAGACCUAUUAAAUUCUAACAGAACUAGACAAAUAUUUUGAAAUGAAAAUUACUGAAAGAUUAAUAAAUAAAAAAUUUCUAGGUACCCAUUUCAAUAUGCACUAUAGUUCAGAUUAGCUCUGUAUGUUUACCAAGACAAUGUAUGGACAAUGCAUUCCAAUAAAUAUGCUACUUUCAUCAAGUAGAAUCUAACAAGAGAUUCUGAUUCCAGUCUGACAAUAUAUAUUGGCAUUUGGCAAGCAUGGCAAGCACAAACCCUUUAAAUCCAUACAUAUUAAUGUCACUAAAAGGACAGAUUAACAGAGAGACUCACAUGCAUAAGUUCAUCUCUAGUUCGAUGAGGUAGCCUAUCAAGGACGCUCUCCUGCGGAUUCUUUCCAAGAUGAUAUCUGGUACUCGAAAGAUGUUGAUUCAACCCAUCAAGAACCUAGCUCACACCAGUGAGGUAGUUAGGUUUCCUGCUCCAUGGAAUUUAAAUAGCCUAUGAAAAAAGAAGCCAAGCUAACGGUAAAGACCAUCAUAAUUAGACAGUGAAACAUCGUCACCGACAAAAGUAUUAGUUGUCCUUUCUAAAAGAUGACAUAGAUCUGACCGAAAUUUUAAUUAACCUUUUAACUGGCAGACAGCGUAAUUACAUGAAAUACUGAAACCUAUAAUUCUUUGUAAUUCAAUCUCAUUUAUCAUUUUUAUCAUCAGAGAGGAUGACUAACCAAUUUCCAGCUUUACUUGUUAAUUCUAAUAAGCUAUAAGACCCAAUAGCUGAGAAACUGUUACAUAAGAAAAUUUUGUCCGAUGCCUUGUCAUCAACAACAGCAAUGCAGGUAAAAGACAAGGUUGUAGCAUCUUAUAAAGUCACCAGCGAUUUGGAUAGUUCUGAUAUAAUAAGUAAUCCUUUCCUUAACAACAAUGGACAUAAGGAUCUAAAUAAGAAACAGAUUCAAUAUAACCAAAAUUUUGCAAUUUACUAGUCUAGCAGCACAUCAGUAAAAUUGGUCAAUCAUUCCCGGAAAAUCCGUGACAAUAACAUGGAAGUAGACUGGUGAUACUAGCCAUCAAGAAUUACCAAGAAAGCAUCAAGCAAUUGUGGAGCACUAUUUAGUAAAGUACAAGCCCUAAGAAAGUGUUGAACAGGAUAAAUUUGGCAAUAUUCAGGGUAAGGAAUACUAUUGGCUUUCCAAAAAUCGCAAUUUAAAUAACACUGUUGCAGCCUUCCAACUAAAAAACCAUUUAUACUUCCGAAGAAGUCUAACAUGUAUAACCAACAGCAAAAUAAAAAUUUACCUUAAGAGCUGCUUCAGGUUGAAUAACUGGAAUUUCUAAUCCUCGAGUUUUGACCUCAGAUAUCUGCCUCCGCAAGUAAAGGUACACCUCCUCAGUGCUCAUGUUGCAAUUUAUAGACUUCAUUCCACCACUAUCGCCUAGAGCUUUAAGUGCAUUGGCAUGCUGAGAAUCAAAAUACUCACGGGGGUCCUGAAGAAAUAGGAUAUACAAUGUAACUCGUAGUUACAAAAUGGUCAACAGGAGGGAUCAUUAAAUUGUCAAAUGUACGGACUAUCUCUGGCCUGACUUACAUCCCUGGACUUUUCACUUACACACUUCAGUCCUUGAACUUCAUCAUAUUUGUAAUUUCAUCCCUAAAAAAUAAAAGCAGCCAAGUUUUCCUAAAGUAACCAUUUUACUCAUGCAAAAUAACUACCUUGUUUCAACUAGACUGAAACAGAGUUGGAAAGUCAUUUUAACAGAAGUCAUGUGUUGUAAGAUAUUCUUUAGCGGCUAGGGAGUAGGAUGGAAUUGCAAUACAUGAGAAAGUUUAAAGGUCGGAGUCUAAAAUGUUUAUGUGAAAAUUUCAGGGAGUAAGUCACAUAUCAGUAUAGUGCAGAGUCAUACCUUAAUACAGAGAGGUGCAUAUGGGAGGCUUCGCGGAGCCUGAAGGUCAUCAAUCUCGGUCAUACGAGAAACCUUUGCCAGUCGUUCCAUGUUGACAUUCUCAUCCGGCAAAUCAGAGGAUGACUCUGCAGCAUAUAUUUCGUGGAGUUAAAAUAAAAUUAAGAAAGGUCAAGAAAAUAGAAAUAGUAGCAGAGUAAUGAAAAGAAUAAAUCACGUUUCAGACCUUGUUUAGACCUGGCUAGUGCUUCAGCUACAGUUCGUGUGUCGCCCAACUCCACGUCUGCAUCCAUAACACAAAAACAUUCCAUAAAUAUUGUUUUGAAUAGUGAGUUCACAAUGCUACUAGCUCAAAAUACCUAAAAUAGAAGCAACUGAAAGUUAAUAUGUAAGAGCAAUUAGAAAAUUAGGCUUGAAACUGAUCACGGCCUUUCCUGAGCUUGUUUGAACCAUGAAAGGUUUCAGGAUCAAGCUUGGACCACGAUUAUUGUGAUUAGGGUUGAGUCGGGUGUAGGAAAACAGGUCCAAAUUACUUUUUUUUCCAGGCUUGUGCCAGUCCUAGUCUGACUAGAAGUCCAAUGUAACACUUGAUUACAUUCAGGAUCAGCCUCCGGCUGCAACUUUUGCUAUCACACAAAGGGAAAUGCUAAUGGGAUGAAUGAGCUACUCCUACCUAACGCCCUUCCUUCAAGAACAACAGCUGCAUGGCGGUUAAGAUCCUGAGAGAGGGUCCUCCUAGCUAUCUCAUAAUCAGCAUCCAUAGUCUCCUUGCUUCCGUCACGAAAGAUCCCAUGAUCCUGGAUAUCAAAUUACCAUACGAAGAUGCAAAUUAAAAUCUGCUGAAUUCAAAAUAGGGUGAAGUGUAUCCAACACAGUUCCUGUACCAUCCUGGGGUUGCUCAUUAACCUUAAAAGUUUCACAUAAACACUUUAGAUCUCGAAACUUCUCAGAUAUUGCAAUUACAUACCAAGCCUCUAAAAGAUUUUGACAACACCUGACAUUCUUCUAUGAAAUGACCUUUUCUUAAGUUACCCAAGAUGAGACAUGGCCUCAUAAAGGAAACUUGGAAUUCUUUUUCUUAAAAGUUAUUUUACACAUUUAGGGAUGCUUUGCAAUCAAUGAGAAAGUGCACAGACUAAGUCGCAACAUUAGGGUAGAACAGGGACUACAAACACAUUUUACCACCUAAACUCAGCAUUGAUGAAUAAUAAACUAAUAAGCAAUACUUACAUUCCGCAUCUACAGAAUCUAGAAGCUUAUUUUUCUCGAUAACAAUUGAAAAUGUGAGUGAAGAUCUAGAGGACUGCUAACAAUGCAGUUAUCUGUUUAAGCAAUAACAUGAGUUCUCUAUUUAAGCUAAUGUAUAAUAUGUCUGCAGCUAUGAAAAUCAAGAGAAGAGAGUAAGGAUCAGUAACAUGCCGGAAGAUGGAUAUAAUCAUCUCCUACAUCAGCUUCCAUAUCUAAGGUCGGAUCAACCCGUCUGAUCUGCAGAGAAAAAUGAAAAGGGUAAAAAAAAAAAUACAACCAUAAGAAUGGUAUCAAACACUGUAACAGCAUUAUUUGCUAAAAAGUUGUGGUAGAGAAUCAACAAUCAUCCACACACUGUUAUUAACAGGGCAGAAAUGUUAUUGACAAAGCGGUUUCAUCGAAGAGUCAAGUCAAUCAUAUGACUGAUGACAGGAUCCAAUAAACUUGCUUCAUCAAUAAAAUUUAAAGCACUGCUCAAAUCACCACCCAUACACUCAUACAGCCCCAUAACCUUACCUUACAACGAGCUUCAUUUGCUAGUAUAUCGUCAUGCUUCAGAAAGACGGCAAGUUCCUCAUCUUCAGCUGCCUCUGCCGCAGCAGCAACAGAAUUUUUUGUCCUGUGGAGGUAUUCAGCUCUACAAUAUUUGGUCCAAAAAUCCUUCUCUGUCAUCUGAAGACAUUUUUUUCAAGGGAAAAAGCAAGAUGAAUGAAUCAACGUAUAUAGUACCUAACAAUUCACUUGUACAACAAAAACAUAAAGAGCUGGACAACAUUAUUGAUCUUACCUUGGUAGGAACGAAAUUUAAAAAUGCACGAUGAACAGCAGGUUUUUCAGCAAAAAUCUGCAAGAUAUUUCUCAAAUAAGAUAAUCUCUUUAUGAAAAGUAUAAUCUCUUUAUGAAAAGAUUUAUGGAUUAAUUAAUGUAACAAGCUACAAAUAGAAAUACAAUAGCUCUAUCUUAUCUCCUAGAGUAGAUUGUUCUCGGACGUAAUAUUUUCAUGAUCGGCAAGAUCAUUAGCACAUAUGGUGUAUACUGGGGUGGUGGGGGGGUUUGGUGGUGUUGGGGCGGGGGGAGUGGGGCCGGGUUGGUGGGUGGGGAAUAUAAAUUGGAUUAGUAGAGAGAGAAAAAAAGCCCUGAAUUAGUCGGAAGAUUGAGAGAAAGAAAGAACAGCAAGGGAUCAGAGUUAUCAAAUUUCAUUUUCAUUUUCCAUAUUUCUUCCCACCUGACCUCUUCAAUAGCAUGUAAAACUCCAAUCUAAAGGUGUCUUCACUUCAAAAAUAUACNAAAAAAAAAAACCAUUAACUCCAAAAUAAAGUUCUGUAAAGGGUGAAGUGAGGCAUUAUCCUAUCAGGUGAAAUAAAACAAAAAAACAAAACAAGAUAACCAUGUCUGAAAGAUCUAACAAGAAAACAAAGGUGAAGCUCACAUCACAAGUAGAAAAUUUCAAAUAUUACAAAUUAUAAAAACAAAAUAAGUAUAAUGCAAAAGGCAAAAAUACCUGAUGAAUAAUCUCUGGGGUCAGGCUAAAUGUGACUUUAUUAGUCUGCCAAAAAAAUGCCAGCAUCAAUGUCAAAGAACUUUAGUAGAAGUGUCAAAGCAAUUGAACUUACAAGAGUCUGUAACAAAAUCAUUUCAUGAAUCAAAAUAUAUCAUAACCACUUGGUUGCUUAAAUACCAGCUGAUGGUAGUAGUAACCAACCAUAUAGUAGGUUAUUUUGAAGGUCAAAAAAGAUGAACAGGAAUAGCCAAAGAAGAAGAGAAUAAGAAGAAGAAAAAGAGAAAUUCCAUGUUGUACCCGACCAUCUGUUGAGGGCCUGACAUCUGCAAGCAUAGCACUUUUAAACCCUGCCUGCUGCUUUGAUGCUUUAUUCUCGUCGUCAUCAAGUAAACUCUGAACAGGGCAAAAAACAAAGAGAAGCAUUAAUAUAGAAUGAAUAAGAAUGAUAUAAAUAGAUAAAACCAACAAAACAAUAAUUAAGUAUUUGCAGAAACAAAUGGUUUACCUUCCUUGUGGCCCAAAACUCAGACUCUGUUAGCACGCCGCUAAUAACAAAUUGCUUGUGCAAUUUCUGCAAUUCACUGAUAAAAAGUACCUUCAAGAGCCAAUUAUAGUAUAUGCUUUAAUCAUCUACCUAGAGAGGGUAAUAGAGGGCUAAACUUACUGUGAAACACAGGUCUAUCCAUCUACGUGAGAAAAAUAAUUUUGUAACAGAAUAAAUCCUUGCCAUAUGCUAGAAGAAUGAUUGUCUAUCAGAAGAUGAGGAAAGAAGUAAACAUAAGAAGUUUAUACUUUGUAGUAGGCUAUAUCAACUAAAUUCAAGAAACCUACUAUAAGAAUGAAUUCCUCAGGCACGAGAUCAAAAUCAACAGAACGUGAAAGCCCAGUAAACAGCAUGUGAAAGCUCAGAACACGCUUGACCACCAAUUAAACUAUGAUAAUUAUCUAUUUAACAUUAAUCAAUACUGGAUCAACCAAAAAAAGUGGUAUCAACUAACAAAGUAACAGCUAACGACAAAAAAUACGGAAGAUAGGCUGGUUCAUAAAGUUAUCCAAAAAAAAGAAAAUUCAGUGUUGGCUAUAAAAAGAGGCAACAUAGCAAAAUUUACCUAUCUUCUCGCAACAACUUCAUCCGGCGCUCCAUUUCUACGGUGCUAAGUUGUUCAACAUGAGAUAAAGCAGCAGGCUUUUCAGGUACAGAUUGCUCGUUUGGUUUUGAAGGUGUGACGGACUGAAAUUUUCCUAGAACUUUUCCUGCGCAGAUGUCACCAAAAGCUAUAUUUCUCAAUUUAUAAGAAAUAAAAAUUUCAAUAUACCAACUUCAUAUGAGUUUUUCUUCCCCUUUUCAUCUUACUAAUUGAUAAACACAACAAGUUUAGGCAUAUGCAAUAUAUUACUUAUUUCAAAAUCAAAAGCAAAAAAUAAAGAACAAAAGAAAGAAAAAGAGGGGGCACGUUUGGAGUUGGGAAUUGAAAAUCUGCAAUAUAAGCACGACUCUAUGAGUCAUAAUGCUAAGAUGAAGUAGUUCCCACCGUUAUGCACAGGAUGAUCACAAACCAGGCAGCUUCGGUAAGAAAUGUAGUUUUCUAAUUUCAAUUAUGAUUAGAUUUUCAACACUUGAACUUCACCCUAAUUAUAGUAAUAGCAGCAUGAGCAAAUGCUUUUUCUGAUUUAUAUACUUCAUCUUCAUAUAGUGUAAGUAUUUGUUGAAAAGAACUAGUAGAAAAUACAAAUAUACCCAAUACAAAGGAAAAAAAAAAGUUCACUGAGCAAGGACUUUACCUACAAAAUCUCGGCAAACAUUACGGUCAGAAAAAUUGUCGAACUCAAAAAUGUAGCCUACUCCCUGAAACAAGAUGUAAUCAAUCAAGUUGCUUGAAGUAACAGUACAUGGUCAACAAGGAACAACAAGAUGGAAGCAUGGUUUCAACAUGGUUGCAUCCUAAGGCGUAUUUUGGGAAUGUUUUUAUCUAAAACACUUUGAUAAGUUAGAGUUCUCAAAAAGACUGAAAGCGCUUUAGAGCUCCACUAUACCGAUGGUUGAAAAUGAUGGUGGGAAUCUCCAGCAGAAAAGCAUCUAAGAAGAUGCUUCUUCAGUGGAGGUUUAUAGCAGCAUUACAUAUUAUUUCAUGGCAUCGGCGGAGCAGAGCUUGAAAGUGCUUUCAGAUUUCUUUCGUGAAGCUUUAAAGCAUCAAAACAUUGCAUUUGGAGAACCAAGAAUGUAGUCCGAAACUAGACCUAAUUCAACCAAACCGCAAUCAGGACGAAGUGUCACUGUCAAAUGCCAACAUAAUUCCCAAUGGCAUACCUUUUCAGCAUCCUGUGUAAGAUUGAGUAAUGCUUGCUUAGAGCCAUCUUUACUGAACUUGUGACCUAAAAUCAAGCAAAAAUGAACAUACACUCAGAGAUAUGCAAAGAUUUCUAUGGUUAAAUACUGUAACAAUAUAAAGAGAAUAGAAUACUUAACAAGCACUUCAGGUUAUCACAUAAUAGGUUUAUAGGAAGAAAAUAAAACAGAAAGUGGUACCUCUGAGAAAGGUAACAAAGAUUCAACAACCAGAAGUAUGAAAACAAUACAUAGAGUAAAGCAUGUCAACAAAAAUAAUGGUAAAAAAUACUACCGCACAUGGUUCUACAAAUUUAAGGUUCUGAUCACAGGUUUAAGUAUUGAAAAUAUCUUGCAAGCAACUAGAAGAACUGAAUCACAAGAUCGUCCACAGGAAUUGUACAGAGAAUCACAAGAUAAAAGAUAAUUAUUAUUUGUAGGUGCAUUAGUUCCAAAGUUUUUGAUAAAGGCGACCCUAAAUACUGCAAGCCCAAAAAUUCGUCCAAAAUUUUACAAUUUGCACACCCUUUAGUCAACUAGCCACCAUAGAAAUCAAUUUUCCUAGUUUAUAUUACUAGUAUGUUAGAACUCUUACUUUCUUCUUUUAAAGUUAAAUUAAAUUGAAACUCUCAGAAUGUAGUCUAGAAGAAUCCCUCCUGUCUCGUUUUAAUAACUUCUGGAGAAGAAUAGAAUAGUUGUCAAAAUAUAACAACACUAAAAAUAUGUUAAGGAGCCAUUUCCCAUUGCAAUGGAGAUCAAAAACAACUUCCCCUUUGAUGAGAGGCACCGAAUAGGAGGAAACUAAAUCCAAUUCAUUGCACUUCAAAUACAUGACGACAGUAGCUCUAAUAGUGUGGAGCCAUAAUAAAAAUUCUAUUUAGAGAUUGUUACAUAGAAUUCAAAAAAAUAUAAAUAAAUAAAAUUUAAAAAAUCAGGUAAUGCGGAGGAUACAGACAGUAGCUUCAGUAGUGUGGAGCCAUAGAAUGAAUUUUAUAUAUAUAUAUAUAUAUAUAUAAUUGAGCUCCUAUGCUUUUAAAAGUACCAAGUCAUUGGUGCUUGUAAGUUUUCGGCCCUUGGAUUAAGGAAUGUGCGGUUAGGAUGAUGUAGGCCCCCUAGGGUUGAGUGGGUAGUUGGUUGAAUAGUAUAAUCUAACAGAUAAAAAUGAUCAAAGGCGUAGAUCUAACGAUAAAAAAUUUACAAGCACCAAGUGCUUGGUGCUUGUAGAUUUUUAGCCAUUGGAUUAAAAGAUAUGCGGUUAAGAUGAUGUGGGCUCCCUAGGGUUUAGUGGGUGGUUGGUUGAAUAGUAUAAUCUAAUGGUUGAAAAUGAUCCGAGGAGUUGAUCUAACGGUAAAAAACUUACAAGCACCAAGUGCUUGAGUGCUUGAUGCUUUUACAAGCACCAUAGCCGGACUCUAUAUAUAUAUUGCUAAAUAGAACUCAAACCAAGAAAUCCAAAAUAGAAAAAAUUAAAAAUACAUAGUACCUUUAAUAGUUCGGAAAUCAACUUUAAGCUUCAUUGCUGAUCUCGGAUCAUUAGGAACAAAAGCAAACCUAUCCUCCAUCUGCAAGUGAAAGAACAAACAAUCAGUUCUCAACUAUAUACAGAACCAUUUAUGAGUUCUAAGUCGUAUUUUUUAUCAUAGGAGUCCAAUCACGCUCACAUAUCUCAUCUUGCUUUAAACUACUUCAAAGAAUCUCAUAGUAACAUUUCACGAUCAAACAGAUAGUUCUUCCACGGAAAAACUGCUUCCUAUUACCUUAUACUGGGGAAACUCUCUACAUUCCCAUCUAAAUUUAGCCAAAUGAUAGUUAAAACCAAAAAAAGAGUAAGGGAAUCGCUCGGACGAUCGAUCACUUUACUUCAUUCAAAAUAGUAUGAUCAAUCCCUAUUGGUUCAAAAAACCUACAAAAGGAACAUGGAAAUAUAUCCUGAUCCCAGCUACUUAAGAUGCCAAAAACCGCAAUAGGACAAAGAGAUCGAAGCGGAGAGGAAUACUCACCAUCUUAAGCACUCCGGGUAUCCCAUGCUCCUUAACUGUCGUCUUAUACUUCACGGCCAUGUUGAUCACCGCCAUUACCCCCCGAUCGAGCAGGGAAUCCGCCGAAUCAGGACGCGGCGGGGGAGGGAUCGAAGGCCCCCGCGAUUAGGGCUCGGUAAAGACGAGGGUUUCGAGCUUUGAUCAGAUCGAUCGGGAGCGGAGACGGGAAUCUAAGGUUUCUCGGUGAGAUCGAAGCGAAUAUAUUGGUUGCGGGGAGAGUGAGCGCGAGAGAGGAGGAAGGAGACGAGUGGGGAGGGAGAAUCGAAGGGAGAGGUGUGGGGUGGGAAGUUCAUAUAUAGACGGCCGGUAGAAGAAGGAUUCGCGAGCCCUCUGAGAGAAGGGCGAGGAAAAGGAGCCGUUAAUGGGCCGGUCAUGGGCCAUGACCCAGACCGGCCCCAUUAGAUCAGCUCAGAAGCUACAAAUGGUUCGACUCCGACCCGUUUACGUUAAGAUAUAUAUAUAUAUAUAUAAUAUAUAAUAAUUUAUACCCCAUUGGAGAGCAAAGCACCUACACGGCUCCACCCCACUCCUCCCCAUUCGCUUUCGAUCUUCCCUCUUCGUCUCCACCGUGUCGACCCCUUCCCCAAGCAACNAUAACAUUCAAAUUUUCAAAUCUCUACUUUUUUCCUCUCUCUCUCUCUCUCUCUCUCAAACCCUCAUCUAGUCAAGAAGUCACCCUAGCUCACAUUUCUUAUAAUUAUUUUGUAUUUUAAACUAUUGGACAUGUUGCAUCAAAUUGUAGGUAAUGUUCUAUAAAAAUUAAACUAUUGAUUAUAUAAUGUCGAGAAUUUCAAUGAGCUCGUUUAGAGCUCGAGCUCGGCUCGACUCGAAAUUAGGCUCGCUCGAGCUCGGCUCGAAUUAAUUUCAAGCCGAGCUUGAGCCUAGAUUUAGGCUCGAAAUUAAUUUCAAGCCGAAUUUGAGCUGACAUAAGCUCGCUCGAGCUCGGCUCGUUUCCACCCCUAAAAGCACCUACACGGCUUCACCCCACUCCUCCCCAUUCGCUUUCGAUCUUCCCUCUUCGUCUCCACCGUGUCGACCCCUUCCCCAAGCAACCUCUAACCCUAACCCUAACCCUAACCCUAGAAACCUUCGAAACCGUAGAGAAAUGGGGCAGGGAACGCCCGGCGGCAUGGGGAAGCAGGGUCUCCCCGGCGAUCGCAAGCACGACGGCGGAGACAAGAAGGAGAAGAAGUUCGAGCCCGCGGCGCCCCCGUCGCGCGUUGGGCGGAAGCAGCGGAAGCAGAAGGGCCCCGAGGCCGCGGCGCGCCUCCCCGCCGUGACGCCGCUCUCGAAGUGUCGCCUCCGACUCCUCAAGCUCGAGCGCAUCAAGGACUACCUCCUCAUGGAGGAGGAGUUCGUCGCCAACCAGGAGCGACUCCGCCCCCACGAGGACAAGAGCGAGGAGGAUCGAUCCAAGGUCGACGAUCUCCGAGGAUCGCCCAUGAGCGUCGGGAAUCUCGAGGAGCUCAUCGACGAGAACCACGCCAUCGUCUCCUCCUCCGUCGGGCCUGAGUACUACGUCAGCAUCCUCUCCUUCGUCGACAAGGACCAGCUCGAGCCCGGAUGCGCCAUUCUGAUGCACAACAAGGUCCGUUUCCUGCUUCACAUAGGCGAUAUAGCGUUUGCGAUUUGGGUAUAUUUUGUUUGUUUUGGAGAAACUAGUUUGAUACUUCCAAACUCGACAUGUAUGAUUGUUGGUUGUUGAUUUAUGGACGGGAAUUUGGAAGCUUUUCUUGGAUUUCUCAAGGAGAUGGAUGAGAUCGGGAUCACAGGCUUUUUCACGUGCGGAUUCGUGCAUUUCUGAGUUUUAUUGAGCCUUUGUUUGAAUCUAGAUUGGUGAUCCUUGGAGAAAUUGAUAUUAGGGUUUUCUACAAUUUAUUUGAGAAGUUGUACUUGUGGUGAUCUCCGAUGUUGCGAUGGUGAUUGGAAUAACUUUGCAUAUUCUACAGCUUGUUGAUUGAUAUGUUGAGAACUACUUUGCUAACAACACCAACCGAAUAAGUUGAUGGGUGAUACUUAAGCAAGCAUGGGGAGUGCUAUUCUUUUUGCUAUUCCAAAGCGUCAUGGCCAUCUAAUCAAUUUUUUAUAUCUCAUUGAUUUGCAUUUUCAAUCAGAUCUUCAACUCCUGAUUAGGUCCAUAUUGAGUAAUUCUGAUGCAUUUCAUCGAUAACUUGAUAGAGAUGAACUUCAAGGAGCAUUAAUGGGAGAAAUCAUUUUGGUUAUGUUAACAUAUUGUGUAAUCUAAUAUUAGAAUCUCGCCGGUCAAUUUUCACAUUACAUGACAACUAUGUGGCUUGUAAAAUUCAUGGAGUCUUGCUAAUAAAUUUUCAGUUGAAAGUAGGCUACUUCUUUAAUACGAGACAUAUGAUCAAUACUAUUUGUAGUCUCUAUUGAGUGACAUACUGAUACCAACUUUUAUGCCUUUUCGCUCGAUUACUACAUCGCAUUUCAUAAAUUGAUAAUUGAACUGCCAAAUGCUAUGGAAAUAAAUUUGAGAUCCUUUUUGUUCUCAGCAGAUCUUGUUUUGUCUAAUGGAUAUUAAAUGCCUUCAGGUACUCUCUGUAGUUGGGAUUUUGCAAGAUGAAGUUGACCCGAUGGUUUCUGUGAUGAAAGUCGAGAAGGCUCCUCUGGAAUCUUAUGCCGAUAUUGGUGGCUUAGAUGCCCAAAUUCAAGAAAUCAAGGAAGCAGUGGAACUUCCUUUGACCCAUCCUGAGCUGUAUGAGGACAUUGGAAUUAAGCCUCCUAAAGGAGUCAUACUCUAUGGAGAGCCUGGCACUGGGAAAACUCUACUUGCCAAGGUCCUUCUCUCUCUCUCUCUCUGUCUCUCUCUCUCUCUCUGAGACAUAUACAAAGACCAGCCUUAGAAGAUUUUCCAUUGUAUGUUGUUUUAUAUGAUUAUUUGCAGGCUGUGGCUAAUUCUACGUCAGCAACUUUCUUACGUGUUGUGGGAAGUGAGUUGAUUCAGAAGUAUCUGGGUGAUGGGCCCAAGCUAGUGAGAGAACUUUUCAGAGUGGCCGACGAUCUGUCUCCUUCUAUUGUCUUCAUUGAUGAAAUAGAUGCAGUUGGUACGAAAAGGUACUUGAUUGCUGAUCUUUCAAUAGAAAUGCAUGUCUUGAAUAGUAGAAUGUGAAUUCUUUGAUAUUAGUUCGGUUUGGAUAAGCUCAUUGCAAAUAUAACUUCAUUAUCCUUGAUUUAUCUUCCUAUUACAUAAUCGAGAGCAAGAUCAAUUUUCUUUCUGUGGUUUGACACUAGAGGGGUAGCUAUACUAAUUGAUUUUGGAAUAAACUGUAAAAAUUUACAGGGAUAAGUGAUGAUAAAAUGAUGGGCAAAACUAUAAUAGAGUUAACUGAGUAGUUGCUUCAAGUUUGCAUCAGAACAACCUGAUUUGACUGAACAACUAACUGUUACUCUUUGCUGUGUUUGGGCAAAACAGAAGGGGAUAACUUAACUUUGAGUUAUCCCCCUCUUGUUUCGGAAACAAAAUCAGCUUCUAAAUGUGUACUAAAUAUUGCAUCAGUUUCUUAGAGCUAUUGUUGUAUUUCUUUCUAGGUAUGAUGCUCAUUCAGGAGGAGAGCGUGAAAUUCAAAGAACCAUGUUGGAGUUGCUGAACCAGUUGGAUGGUUUUGACUCAAGAGGUGACGUUAAAGUUAUUCUUGCAACAAACCGCAUUGAGAGCCUUGAUCCUGCUUUACUUCGACCUGGCCGAAUUGAUAGAAAGAUUGAGUUUCCACUCCCAGAUACUAAGACUAGGCGGCGUAUUUUCCAGGUAUCAAUUGCCUUUAAGUUUUGACAAAUAAAUAUUUCUCCAAUAUUGUGUUUCAUUUCUUUUUAACUAGUACUUCUUUCUUGUGGUCAUCACGUAGAUACACACAUCUAAGAUGACAUUGGCUGAUGAUGUGAACCUCGAAGAAUUCGUAAUGACGAAGGAUGAGUUCUCUGGGGCUGACAUUAAAGCUAUCUGUACUGAAGCUGGAUUGCUUGCUUUAAGAGAGCGCAGGAUGAAGGUAAGCGCCUUUCUGAAUUCUUCAUAAAAAUAAUUUCUUUUGUUGAUCAGAAGUUACCAAGUCAAAAUUUUGUGGGUGAGAUGUUUCACUAAACUUGUGAUGAUGAUGACGCAUUGCUCAUUUGUUAUAGAAAUCAUAAUAUGCUGAUGGUCUUAAGUUCAGUAGUCGCUGGAGUUGGAUAUGAAAGAUUGUUGAUCUUCAUACAGGAGGCAAUCCUUUCUGGAUUUGUUAUAUGCCAUUUAUCCCUUUCCACAAUCUCCUGUCAUAUGCCAUCUCUUUUUUGUCAAUUUUUUAGAUCCACUUGGUCUCAAGUUGUUUGCUGCACUUACUAGAUUUCUGACCAAAAAAGACCAAAUAGACUAUUACUAUUGCCACCAUCCUUAAGGUGACUUCUGCAUGCUAACAUCCAAACUAGAAUUCCUUUUUUGAAGAAUUUUGGACUUGAGCGGUUUUUACAGAAAAUUCCACCUUUUUGUUGAUUUUGCAAUUUAGGUUCCCCCUUUCAUUUUAAUUUUUCCAGACUUUUGUUCAAAUUCUCUUUUCAUGGAUCGGCCUGCUGCUGGCCAACAUUUUGAUGAAUUUGAACACUAGAAAUGUAAGUGGGGCAUUUGUAUCAACAAGAAGAUACUUUGGCUCGUAUAUGCAAAAAUGAAAAAAAAAAAAAGGGGAUAAAAAUUGCAAUAUCGAUAAAGGACGAGACUUCUCAAAAUAGCCCUAAUAUUCUCUUCAGACUUUUAUGGGUUAUUUUCUAGCUGGGGGAAAAGGAGUAUCCUUUUGUUUGAGUUCGGAGAUUAGAGAACUCUGGUCACCGAAUUGUUUUGUAAACUAUUUUGUUUGCACGUGUUUCAGGUGACGCAUGCGGACUUCAAGAAGGCCAAGGAGAAGGUGAUGUUCAAGAAGAAGGAAGGAGUGCCGGAGGGGCUCUACAUGUGAGCAUCUAACAAUGCUUUUGCCAUCACUAUCAUAAACCUAGUCAAAGUUUGUCGCCGGAGAGACAUUGCCCUUUUUGUUUAUUAUGCUUCCGAGAUUUGAAAUGGCGCUGGGCGAAAAUUACUAUCUAGCAUGUGCUGUGGAUCUGAUAUCUUAGUUUGCAAACAUUUGCCGGCGGAUGUUUUAGUUUGCUUCUUUUCCUACUCUCAGAAACCAAGUAUCUUGCUUCACUUGCACUUGUAUUGAUAGUAUUAUGUGAUAAAUGAACGGUGAUUCUCCAGAUCGAUCCACUCGGAUGUUGUUAAUCCAGAUUUGCAUUUGUGUAUCUCUUUGGUGGUAGAUUUAUCAGUUUGGAUGUCUCAUCAUGCAUACAACAUAUUGAAUUUUUUUUAUUUUCCCCUUAUUUUUAUCGACUUCUCUCUUACCUUUUGCAGCACGGUAUGUGGUAAUUGGCUGAGGAAGUAUGUGCGCCAUGAAUUAUGUUAGCUACCUAAGAGUGUCUAGCUCAUUUUUCUUCCAUUGUCAUAAAAUCCUAAAGCCUACUACUGUGUGGAGAAGUUAAAAUUGUAGAAUUUCCGUGAUACAUAAAAAAUCAAACUCCGAGUUUGUCACCUUAGAAGGAGAGUUUUGUAAAUCACGUUUUGUUGUACUGACGUUUGCGUUUUGGGAGAAAUAAUGUGUUUUUGGCCUCCAAACAGGUUUAUGGGCGUGUAUCAAUUCCUUGACAUUAAAGCACAAUGAAAAGGUUCUUAUAACGCACAAUAAAAAAGCUCGUGUCACACAGUUUUUGACCUGAUUAGUAUUGAGGUCCAUUUAGGAUAUAAAAGUAUACGUUGGAAUAUAUUUUUUAUUAUUUGAUUAAAUUACAAAAAAUAUGUUACGUAAAUGUAAUAUUAUGUCUAGAAACAAAUAUAAUUUUUUUUUCAUGUACUUUCUUAUUGUAUUGAUCUUUCUGUAAUCUCAAAUAGAGCCUAUUUUAUUUUAGCAUUCAAAUUAAAGGCCCCAUUGUUCUCGCCCCAUUAAAUUUGACAUGUACAACUAAAUUGUCAUCUCAUAGGCAUGCACAUAAUUGUCAAAGGAUAGCCACUAUAGUGCUUAUUAGUACAGAAGACCACUGCUAGGAGAUAAAAACGCAACUAAUAAAGCUACAACAAGACCACUAACCCAAUCUUAUUAUACUUGGGGUUUUUCAAGGACAUAUCAAAUCCCUCUCUAAAGCAUUCAAUUUGUAAAAAAUUGGGAAGGUCCUAACACUCUCUAUAGGUGUCAUUGUGGAAGUUGUUUAGGUGACUCUCCUCCAUGGUGACAACUCCUGUAAGCUUCUUCUUUGGAAGCUACUGUGGUGCUUAUGCUUCAUUAAUCAUGCUUCUUUUAAUAUAUAAGUCACAUAAAACUAUUAAAUCAUCUCAUUUUGUUUUACUGAUCACUUUGUUGGGCUAAGUUUUAUCAUUAUGCUUUAAUAUUGUGUUGACAAAAAUGUGCUAUGAAGGGGUAAUUAUCCUAAUUCGCUAAUAUAGUCAAACAACUCUUGCAUGUAACUUAGUUGCUUGUUUUUGGGACUGCUUGGUUCCUAGGAAAAAUAUGGAAAAAAAAAAAAAAUUGAACUCACACAGUUGCUCCCCUCUCUCUCUCUCUCUCUUCCUAUUAAGUUUGAACUCACACAGUUUCAAGCAACAAGGUGGAGAGAGAGAGAGAAAGAGGAGGAGGAGGAGGAGGGGAGAGAGAGAGAGAAAUGGGAAGGGCACCAUGCUGUGACAAGGCAAGUGUGAAGAAGGGUCCAUGGUCUCCUGAAGAGGAUGCAAAGCUCAAGGUUUAUAUUGAGGAGCAUGGAACUGGUGGCAACUGGAUUGCACCUCCUUAUAAGAUUGGUUAGCCCAAGUUUAUCUUCUCAAUUCUUAUUUACAACAGUACAUAAAUAUAUUAAAAACGUGUUCAUAUGUGUUUGUUGCAUAAUCACAUGCAUGGUUUAAGCAUUUUGAACCCGUGGUUCGGAAUCUAAUGAGUUAUUAUUGCUAGUGAGUUAGAUCGUUACAAUAUCUUUUAACAAUUCGAGCUUUCGGAAUUAACAGCUACACCAACGAUGCGACAAAAAAGAGUUACUAUUUAAUUUUCACAAUACAAUUACCCUUUUACUUUUCCUUUUGAGAUCCAAAAGUCAAUUUUAGCUUCCACAAAAGGGUAAAUUUUCAGAAAUUAUAUGUAUCUAACAUCCCAUUGCUACUUUAUUUCAAAAUAGAGCAAUUGUUCUAAAAGCUAACUGCUAAGCCAAACAGGCCCUUAAUGUCGAGGAAAGCAGCUUAGCUAGAAAACUAACAUGACGGUCUUAAAUAUUGCAAGUUUGUAACUACGUACUAAUCUCUCACUGAACAUUGCAGGGAUAAAGAGAUGCGGAAAAAGCUGCAGAUUGAGGUGGCUAAACUAUCUAAGGCCCAACAUUAAACACGGCGACUUCUCACCAGAAGAAGAUAAAAUUAUUUGCAGCCUCUACAUCAGUAUUGGGAGCAGGUAUCUGUAGCAUCCAUCUAAUCCCAUCAUUAAUCAUCCAUAUCGCCUAAUUAGCACUAAUCAACUAUACUUUAAAAUGCGCUAAGGUGGUCCAUUAUAGCCGCGCAGUUACCAGGAAGAACCGAUAACGACGUUAAGAACUACUGGAACACCAAACUGAAGAAGAGGCUCCUCGGAAAGCAAAGGCGAGAGCUCAACGGAGGAUGGAACGAGGUCGUCGGCUCGCAAACACUAAAUGCAUCGGCCCUCGAAAGAAUUCGGCUACAAAUACAGCUACAGCAACUCCACUACCACCACAACCCCUCUCUUUGCUCUAGUAGUAAGAUUCUCCAAGGGCAAUGUAGUGGUAAUUCUACAAAUGGUAUAGUAGUGAGCGAGCCUAUCUCAACUCAAGUUGUUGAAUUCGACAAAAUUGAUGUGACGAAUGCAGAAGCUAGUGAGAAUGUAGACGGAUUUAUCUUAGAUGAUCUCUCUUCGCCUUCGCGCGAUCGAUAUGUAGAGGAAGAUAAGAGAAUGAAAGGAGCGGGUUUGAAUUGGUGGGCUUAUGGGGAUGAAUCACCAAUGAGUUCUAAUGGCCUUUUUGCUGAUCAUAAUUUUGAUUCUAUGGUUCAAGGGUAUGGUUCCCCAUAUGAUCUAUAAUAAGGGUUAUGUCAAAGGAUUCAGGAUAUAUGUUUGUGAGCUAAUGAAUAAGGAUGUCAUAUUUAUCCUCUGUAACAUCUCUUCUGAUGGUUAUUUUUUUGGAGUCAUAUAAGUGAAAAUAUUUAUGAUGGUCUGAUUCAACAGCUAUUACUACUAGCGAACCUGUGCUGCAUAAUAGAAAGGUAAAAUAUUAUAUUACAAAUAAUAACUCUUAUUUUUACACUUCAGAAAUACGUAUAGAUAACUCAUUUUAACCCAUUAAUAAAAAUGUAGGAGUCUUCGACAAUCCCCCAACUCUUUAAGUGCUAUAUUUAAGCCUCGGUUGGUAUAGUUGUUGUUUUUUUUUUUUUAAAAAAAAAAAAACAGCAAAUUGUGGAAGAUAAUUAAUAGCAUUUCUCCCAUGAAAAUCUACACCAUACUUUUGGUGUACAAAUAGCAUAUCUCACAUCAAAAUUGCGGGAUCAUCAAAACAAUCACCAGCCAAGGAGUAACAGCUUCAGUAAAGCCAUCAAUCACCAGCCAAGGAGUAACAGCUUCAGUAAAGCCAUCCGGAUAUAGAGGCCAUUUUUGGCUUGUCUAAAAUAUGCAGCUCUAGGAUCACCAUCGACAUCCACUGUAAUCUGCAACGCAAAAAGCAAGUUCACACAGCUUUCAUUUAGGGCAAAGUCGUCUUUAUUGUACGAGUAGCUUUUAGAUUAAAAUUCACGAGUAGCUUUUAGAUUAAAAUUCAUAGCUUCUGAAAAAGUGCUGAUUAAGAAGAGCUAUUCAAAAAGCAUCAAUGGGUUUUAAAGGUAAACCGCCGAUUUAUGACGUUAAUAGCAGAAAAGAAAGAUGAUGGUAUGGAGGACAAUGAACAGGUAUAAUUACCUCAUCUAGUCUUGGAAGCGGAUGCAUGAUAACUGCGUGCUUUGGAAGCACUUCUAACACCACCUUGUCCACUAUGUACUUCCCGCGAGCUGCUUCGUAGAGAUCUACUCUCUCGCCAAAUCUCUCUUUCUGAAUCCGCGUUUGAUAAACGACAUCACAUUUUGAUGCCACCUCUAAUAGAUCAGAGCUUUCUUCCCAUUCUACUCCCAUUGCUGUUAAGUAGUCUUUAAUGUCGUCCUGAAGAAGUUAACAAAAUAGCAAAGAAGAAUGAAUGAAUAUCAGAUAACGAUGCUCUAAAAAGAAGACAAAUUCUACAAACUGAUCCUAGUGCAUAGAUGGUACCUUCAUCUUGACAACCUCUGGAGACACAAAAUAAAUCUUGAUGUUUUGAUAUUUAGCAAUCAAAUAUGCUAAAGAACGAACCGUCCUACCAUUAGCAAGAUCUCCAACCAAGCCAAGGGUAAUCCCAUCGAGUCUUCCGAUUUCUCUUUUUAUGGUAUAUACAUCCAAUAGAGCCUGCAAAUGAGAAACUAAUAAAUAUGAUUGCAUAUGCGAUCAUAUUGCAAAAAUGGUAAUUAUAACAAUACAGGUUUGUCUUAAACUAGUAAAAGGGUAAUGAGGAUGGAUUAGCUGUGUGAUAGCUUAUACCUCCAUUUGAACAUCUACAAUCCUAAAUGUUGAUGUAUGGAUAAGUCACUGCUUCACCAUAGUUAAAUAACUCAAAAUGUGCAGCUAGAACAAGCUUAUGAUAGUAAUAGUGAGAUGUCAUAGUAAACUAUAGAAGAAGCUAGAUCAACCUAUCAAAUUAAAAGAUUAACAUAUAUAAAACAAAAUAGACAGAGAAGACAGAGAAGCAGCAGGACUAACUUCAUGGAAUCGAUUAUCUAAGGUUCUGUAAACAUCUUGAAGAAUGCUAAGGCCCUGAAGUUAAUACAAAAUUUAUAACACAAGUGGGACCAUUUGGUGGAGAUUAAUGUAGUCAUGUAGUUCCAUUGGUAGUACCAUAGGACAUUUGCUGUAGUCAUGUAGGGUGAAAAAAGCGGAGUUGAAGGUCUUUUGUCAUGUAAAUCUCUCUAACCAUCUGUAAUCUUUCCUAUUAGUGAAAGUCAUGCAAUUGAAAAAGAAGCCAUGGAAAGCAAGCAAAAGAAAAACAAAGAGUGGCCAUGGAUCAUGAGUAGAAGAAAAUUGAGAUGAACAGGUUUCCAAUAUGGCAAUAUACGAGACAGCAUACAUGGGCAAAGAGAACUCAAUGAUCCUUCCUGAAGUAGCGAAAUAUGUAAUGUAAAUAGAGCAAUGGUUGUCUUAGUUGUUCCAAAACCAUUAGAAUGGCAUUUAUGUGGGUCACAGCUGCCUAAACAUUUCCACAUCUUGCUAUUUCUAAAUCAUUAUAUAAUUAGAUAGAUGCAGUGCCAAACAAUAGCAAUGCAAGUGCUUGUGCAUAAAAAAAAAAAACCAAUAAUAAAAUAAAUAUAAUACAUUACAUCAAAAUCUAGCUAUAUAGAAUAAGUAUGCUUUCACUAAAGCAGUGCAUUUUGAUCACAGCUGGUCAUCACAGCAUGCCAAUGCAUGCCCACCAUGCCGACCGACAUUGGAAUCCCUGACCAGUAGUAGUGGCAUACAUUAUGGAAGGGCGAAUCAAAAGAUAAAGACAGAAAAUUUAUCCCAUGGUUACUAUAUUACUUAUUUACUAAAAGUAGUAUACAUUUGCAAGCAACUAGCUUCGGAUCGCAACAUAUGGAUAAGAACCCAAUAUAAGUAUAAAAAAAUUCACAAAGUUUUUCUUAAAAGCAUGAUUCCUUUUCCUCUUCUUUCUCAGUAGUUUAAUUUACUUUAUGUACCUGUGUUGGAUGCUGCCCUGGACCAUCUCCGGCAUUGAUGACCGGAAUACUCGCAGUGGAAGCUGCUCUCCUCGCAGCUCCACUUUCAAAAUGCCUCAAAACAAUUAUAUCAGCGUAGCCUUCAACAGUUCUUAUAGUAUCUGCAAAAUAUUUCACUCUGCAAUCAAUUAAGAAACCCUGAAACAAAUAAUAAGUAAAUAUGUAUCAGUAUGGGGACCCCUUCAACUUUACUUCUUUCGUAAUGGCACCUCCUUAACUACAACUUUUUUUGUAUGUGAUUUUUGACAAUCAUACAAAUUAGGAUAUUGUUAAAUUUAACCAUUAAAUUUAACAGCUUUAAAGUGUAGAUUCCGGUAACAAUUAAUAGGUAAUAGCUAAUAAAGCCACUAACUUUAUAAUUUCUACAACUCAACUGACUUAAAGGGGAAAGAAAAAAAAGAGAUGAGGAAUUAUCAAUAAUAUGAUUAAAGUUCAUUUCAAAAUGUCCUGUAGUUGGAGGGGUCAGGUACCUUCUAGGGUUUCGCCCUUCGCCGCCGAGGAGAACUCCCGCGCAUUCUCCGUCGUCAAAACCUCCCCACCCAGCCGCUUCAUCGCCGACUCGAACGAGAGCCGCGUCCUCGUCGAGGGCUCGUAGAAGAGCGUCGCCAUCAAAUACCCCUUCAAAAUCGCGCUCCCGGUCGAGCUCUUCUCGAUCUCCUCCAUCUGAUGCGCCACUUCGAAGAUCUCGUUCAGUAUAUCCCGAUCGAACUGCUGCGCCUCGAUCACAUCCUCGAGUUGAAACCGCGACCCCGCGGCGACGAUCGGCGACUCUGCGAGCGAAGCGGAGCAUCGACGGGUCGGCGAUCGCGAGGAGAUCGCUAAGGAGAAGGGUUUAGAGCGAGGGGAAACCACCGAUGAUGGUGCGCGGCGGAGAGAGGAGGCGAUCGCUCGAUCGCCGCGUGUAGGGUUAGGGUUUUUGCAUAGGAAUCUCGUAGAUGAUGGAGAUAAUAACGCCAUUGUCGGGGGAGAGAGAGGGAGGGAGAGGAGAGUGAAAAAACCAAAGCGGCGACGCAGAGAAAGGGUGAGUGUGAGAAUUUAUCGUAUAAACCCCUGAGACAUUGAUAACAAUUUUAAAUUUUUUAUGGCAAAAUUGCAAGUACACCCUCAACUACACGAGUUUUAGAGAUUGGGUCUCGAAACUUAAAAUUUAAGACAAUAAUUUAAAGUUUUAAAUAUUAAUUGCAAAAUAUAAUAACAGAAUUUUAUUUAUGUAAAUUUUAAUAUAAAAUUAGUAUAUUUAUUGUAAUCAAAAUGUAUAAAACUUAUGUGACCUACUUGUCUAUUUUGCUCCGACUAUAUAACUUUUAAAAAUUUAUCAUCCAAUUUUUUGUACUUCAUUUGAUUUGAGCUAUCUAAUGAUUUUUCUACUUUAGAAUUAAAUACAACUAUUUACUUUAUCAGAUUUAGGCUUAGNUGACCUACUUGUCUAUUUUGCUCCGACUAUAUAACUUUUAAAAAUUUAUCAUCCAAUUUUUUGUACUUCAUUUGAUUUGAGCUAUCUAAUGAUUUUUCUACUUUAGAAUUAAAUACAACUAUUUACUUUAUCAGAUUUAGGCUUAGUUUGGUAUUGAGGUCUAUCUAACACUUCGUUUGGAAUUGCGAGGAAAUUGCGUUAUGUGCAUAAGAAAGUACGUUGGAAAAAAAUCAUGUUUGUUUCCCUACGUAAUAUUACGUUCCGCACGUCCCGCUAUCGUCAAUUUAGUCGAUCCGGGCCCGUACACAGACGCCGAACGGACAACACAUCCCCUGUCCGCCCAAGGCUCAACAACAACGAGUACAUGUAUAAAGAAAUAAAUAGUAUUUUACACUAUUUUUAUUUACAUCUAUUUUUAUAUUAAAAAUUCGGUAUAUUACAUUCUCCCCCCGUUAACCAAAAGUUUCAUCCAUAAAACUUAGAUACAUACAUACGCUCAUUCCCACAAGCCCAGAUAUUAUUCCUGAAUCACCUUAUAUAGUAAUUCCUACAAUUCCCACUCUAAUUGUGCAUUCUCUCACAUACUUGGCAGCGAUAUCCAUAGGGUCUGAUGUAACAAGGACUCUGCUUUCCUCGACAUCAACAAAUGUCGUCCUCAACUGCGAAUUCAAAAUUUCGCCGGCACACAAUAAUAUAAUUUAGCCACCAUUCUACUCUGCCUUUUUGCAUACCUCCGACUGGCAUUCCCUUCACACAAUCCACAACUGCCCGCACAAUCGGCUUGUCAGGUCCGUAUUGUCAUCAACUAUCAUCAAUAGACGACAAUCACUUAAUACCACUAAGUAUCAUUUCUUUUCCUCAAGGAACAGUACUACCCGUUCAUUCUCACGGUGUGGAUCAUAUAAACAUAGCACUUAACCAAAAAGUCCCCAGCACCACCACAACACAUUAUACACAGGUAGGCUACCUCGAUUCACAUAUGAAUCUACCGCCAAUUUGGAUAUCGCAAUGAGUCGGUUACGAUAUAUUUUCUGCGGUUCAACCGGAGAACGCAGAAGCAUAUCCCUGUAUAAUUUUUUCUCAACUUCAUUCUAUUUAUUUUAGAUAGACCUCAAUACCAAACUAAGCCUGACGCUAUUAGAUAGAAUGACGUUGAUGUGUUCUCCAAUACGACUACAUAAAAUAUAUUAUAACGGACUGAUCACAGAAUAUAAUAUUACGUACGGAAACAAACAUGAUAUUUUUCUAUCGUCGUUUCUCACCUCCCGUAACGCAAUCUUCUUGUAAAAAUGAAGUCUUAGUUAAUAUCCAAACGGUCAAGUAUCUAAAUUUUAUAAUAAAAUAGACAUUAAAUAAUUAAAAUUAAAAUAAUUAAAAAAUUAGUAAUAAAAUUAAAAUUUUAAAUUUUAGAUAACCAAAUCAAAAUAAUUUAUAAUUUAAAAAAACUUAGAUACCUUCCUAUUCUUUAUUGUUUUCNUCUUGUAAAAAUGAAGUCUUAGUUAAUAUCCAAACGGUCAAGUAUCUAAAUUUUAUAAUAAAAUAGACAUUAAAUAAUUAAAAUUAAAAUAAUUAUUAUCUUUGUAGAAAAUUAAAAUAAUUAAAAAAUUAGUAAUAAAAUUAAAAUUUUAAAUUUUAGAUAACCAAAUCAAAAUAAUUUAUAAUUUAAAAAAACUUAGAUACCUUCCUAUUCUUUAUUGUUUUCUACUUUUCAUUGGUAUAGUUUUAAUUAUUUUAUUUUUCUACAAAGAUAAAUAAAAA